rnacentral:rRNA from 1 species
AUUGAACGCUGGCGGCAGGCUUAACACAUGCAAGUCGAGCGAGCGGCGGACGGGUGAGUAAUGUCUGGGAAACUGCCUGAUGGAGGGGGAUAACUACUGGAAACGGUAGCUACUACCGAAUACCAUCAGAUGUGCCCAGAUGGGAUUAGCUAGUAGGUGGGGUAAUGGCUCACCUGGGCGACGAUCCCUAGCUGGUCUGAUAGGAUGACCAGCCACACUGGAACGGGGACACGGUCCAGAGUCCUACGGGAGGCAGCAGGGGGAAAUAGUGAACAAUGGGCGCAAGCCUGAUGCAGCCAUGCCGCGUGUGUGAAGAAGGCCUUCGGGUUGUAAAGCACUUUCAGCGAGGAGGCGGUACUCGCAGAAGAAGCACCGGCUAACUCCGUGCCAGCAGCCGCGGUAAGUC